rnacentral:lncRNA from 10 species
CGGCAGAACAGCUGACACCACCAACUUUAAAGAGCCCAACUGAUGAACUGAUCAGCAUGAGAAUACUGUUUUUUCAUCUCUCUGUCCCAUGACUUCACUCUGCAUUCUUCAACCAAUUAGUGAUCUCUUAUUUCCACCUACUCCAAAUCCUUAAAAACAACAGCCUCAAACUCUUUGAGGAAAUGGAUUUGAGGUUUCCUUCCAUCUUUUGGUUCAGCAGCCCUGCAAUUAAACCUCUUUCUCUGCUGCAACCCAGUGUCUUGGCAUAUUGACAUGCUGUGCACAUCAGGCAAAAGACCUAUUACCAUUACAUGAGGACCCCUCCGGAGGGAGAUAAUGGUGGGGGCAUUUCUGGGAGGCUCUGCUUUAGUCAGGGUGCACGUGUUGCCGCAGGAAUCGCUGGUACAUGCCAUCCUGGCCAUAGGAGGGCUGGACCAGCCCCAGCCCCAGCAGGGUCAGCAGCAAAAGCAGAAGCAAUGAAUGGGUCCUCUGCAGAGCCAUCAGUAUCUUAGAGGUGCCUAGAAAAGAAAGCAAGGGGCAGGAGAAAUAAGAGAGAAGUUGCUGUGGCCAGUACAAUGACACAGGGCAGGGACUGACUGCGUGGCUGCCAGGUUUGUGUGGACAGAGUAUAAAAAGAGAGAAAAGGGUGAGGUCAGGCCCCGUCUCCUCAUGAUGCUUUCACAGUAUCUGUCAUCCCGGCCCUGUGGUUUGGCAUCAUAGUGCUGGGUCAGGAAGUGUGUGUACCUGGAGUUAUCCUGAGCCAGGGUCGGUGGGGUCAGACCCAGACCCAGCACGAAGACCAACAACAAAACGCCCAGGCCCAUCACCAUCUCUUCCAACACAGGCUCCUGCGGAGGGCAAAAGGAGGUGUGGUAGACCCAAGAACAGCAUCACCAAAUUAGGCCAAAAGGACAG